GUCCGCACCGUAAACGAUGAUUACUCGAUGUUUGCGAUAUACAGUAAGCGUCCAAGCGAAAGCGUUAAGUAAUCCACCUGGGGAGUACGCCGGCAACGGUGAAACUCAAAGGAAUUGACGGGGCCGCACAAGCGGAGGAGCAUGUGGUUUAAUUCGAUGAUACGCGAGGAACCUUACCAGGGCUUGAAAGUUAGUGACCGUCUCCGAAAAGAGAUUUUCCGCAAGGACACGAAACUAGGUGCUGCAUGGCUGUCGU
rnacentral:rRNA from 1 species